GCCUACGGGGGGCAGCAGUAGGGAAUUUUCGUCAAUGGGCGCAAGCCUGAACGAGCAAUGCCGCGCGAACGAGGAAGGUCUUCGGAUCGUAAAGUUCUGUUGAAGGGGAAAAAGAGCGGAGAGAGGAAAUGCUUUCUGAUUGAUAUUACCCUUCGAGGAGGUCACGGCUAACUACGUGCCAGCAGCCGCGGUAAUACGUAGGUGGCGAGCGUUAUCCGGAAUGAUUGGGCGUAAAGGGUGCGUAGGCGGCCUGCUAAGUCUGGAGUGAAAGGUACCGGCUCAACCGGUACAGGCUCUGGAAACUG
rnacentral:rRNA from 1 species